AACGAACGCUGGCGGCAUGCCUAACACAUGCAAGUCGAACGAACCCUUCGGGGUUAGUGGCGCACGGGUGCGUAACGCGUGGGAAUCUGCCCUUUGCUUCGGAAUAACAGUUAGAAAUGACUGCUAAUACCGGAUGAUGUCUUCGGACCAAAGAUUUAUCGGCAAAGGAUGAGCCCGCGUAGGAUUAGGUAGUUGGUGGGGUAAAUGCCUACCAAGCCGACGAUCCUUAGCUGGUCUGAGAGGAUGAUCCGCCACACUGGGACUGAGACACGGCCCAGACUCCGACGGGAGGCAGCAGUGGGGAAUAUUGGACAAUGGGCGCUAGCCUGAUCCAGCAAUGCCGCGUGAGUGAUGAAGGCCUUCGGGUCGUAAAGCUCUUUUACCAGGGAUGAUAAUGACAGUACCUGGAGAAUAAGCUCCGGCUAACUCCGUGCCAGCCGCCGCGGUAAGAC
rnacentral:rRNA from 1 species